CUACAAUGAUGACACUCAUAUUUUGUUACCUAUUUUUUCUGGCAUCUCUAAUGCUAGAGCAGCGACGUUUAAGUACUUUCCUGCUCGAUGAAUAUAAACAAAUGACUACAAGACUGACA
rnacentral:snoRNA from 11 species